ACGCGUGGAACCUUACCUACCCUUGACAUGUCAGGAAGUCUGGAGAGAUCUGGAUGUGCCCGAAAGGGAGCCUGAACACAGGUGCUGCAUGGUUGUCGUCAGCUCGUGUCGUGAGAUGUUGGGUUAAGUCCCGCAACGAGCGCAACCCUUGAUCUUAGUUGCCAGCAUUCAGUUGGGCACUCUAAGGUGACUGCCGGUGACAAACCGGAGGAAGGUGGGGAUGACGUCAAAUCAUCAUGCCCCUUAUGACCUGGGCUACACACGUGCUACAAUGGAUGGUACAAAGGGCAGCAAAGCGGUGACGCCUAGCGAAUCCCAUAAAACCAUUCUCAGUUCGGAUUGUAGGCUGCAACUCGCCUACAUGAAGCCGGAAUCGCUAGUAAUCGCGGAUCAGCAUGCCGCGGUGAAUACGUUCCCGGGCCUUGUACUCACCGCCCGU
rnacentral:rRNA from 1 species